rnacentral:lncRNA from 1 species
GAUGACAAGAUUGCAAGAUGUUGUGGAAGUUACUACUUGGCGUCCAACUUGUUCUUCAGUGAUUGCCAAAUUUCGUGUUCUCGUAUUCCAAGGAAUUCACACAUUACUGAAGCUUUCCCAAUAAGAGACCAGGUUGUUGAGGAACCUUGGCUAUUGCAGCCAUCCUUUGGGGCUCACCAUUUUGCUGAUAUAUAUACUUCAAGUGAUAUUGAUAAUGAAAGAGAGAUAUUGAACUGCUCCAAUGGUAGUCUUCAGAAAUCAGAAAUGUUAAAUCAAUCUAGCCAUGGUGAGGAUUNACGCGACACAAGAGAAGAGAUUGAGGAGGAGGUCGAGGUGAGCUGCUGCGUAGCUCCUGCUCCCUCAUGUUGUAAAUUGGAAAACCGUCGCCCAUUUUGCACGUCUGUCAAUGGAUUUUCGACCAACUUCUCAUAGGUGAACGCCUCUCCUUCGCAUUACUUCGUCCCAACCCCUUUAAUAAAUGCCUUUUCUGCCCAACUUGUAUUUACCUUCACGAAUCCAUCCUUCUAUCUAUCUGAUUGCAAUAGAUUGAUUAGUUGGUCUUCUCUGUAUUGAUUGUUGACGAGAGAGGCUAGGACAUUCUUGAACUGAAGAAUAUAAAGCUUUAAAAUUUGUAUGAUACUUGUUAUGUGUUCUUACUUGGUGAACGAUUUAAUGUAAAUUGAUUUUCAUGGUGAAGGCACCUUGAAGUGAAUAAAGUCUAAGUCUUUUGCAAACCAAGACAUGUGGACAUCUUCUGAUGUCUUGUGGGGAACCAGAGUCCAAUAUUCUGUGCUGCCAUAUUCGCCAAGCCAACAAUGUAGAAAAUGUACGGGAAAGCUCAAACCUCGUAAUAGGAGAAAACCGGUAUUUCAGUCAUGGUUUGGGAAGAGAACUCAACGGUUCCUCCUUCCUGCUUUAUCAAGAGGUAUUGCUUGUAUUCCUUGUAGUCAUUAGAGUAAGAUUUUGCUCCAAUUUGUUGCUGAACACUCAAAUGUGUCCAGUGAUUUCACAGAUGAUGACAAGAUUGCAAGAUGUUGUGGAAGUUACUACUUGGCGUCCAACUUAUUCUUCAGUGAUUGCCAAGUUUCGUGUUCUCGUAUUCCAAGGAAUUCACACAUUACUGAAGCUUUCCCAAUAAGAGACCAGGUUGUUGAGGAACCUUGGCUAUUGCAGCCAUCCUUUGGGGCUCACCAUUUUGCUGAUAUAUAUACUUCAAGUGAUAUUGAUAAUGAAAGAGAGAUAUUGAACUGCUCCAAUGGUAGUCUUCAGAAAUCAGAAAUGUUAAAUCAAUCUAGCCAUGGUGAGG